CUGUAAAUACAGUGCCUAACUCUGCUUUCCGUUUCCCGUAAGGAGAAGCAGAGCCACCGGUAAUGUCUGCGCCGCUCUCCUUGCCUUUUCUUUAUAAACGCAGUUCCUAACUCAAUUUUCCGUUUCCCAAAAGGAGAAGCAGAGCCAACGAUAAUGCCUGCUUCUCUCUCCUCUCUUUUUUUUUUCUACUUCCCUCUUCCGCGUCUCCUUCCAAUCCCAACGCGCACUUUUCUCCUUCACCACCAUCUCCUCGACGCCGUCUCAUUCCAAAAUCAAUCCACCGCCACCACCGUCGUCUUCGUCUCUCUAGUUCCUCUCAAUGACCUCUCGUAAACGCUGCAUUCACUGGCUCCUCUUCCUCUUCAUCGAUGCCUCCAGAAGUCUCUUCCUCCUCUCAGUUCAGGACAGUUUGCUAUAUCAGGGGCAUUUUGGGUAACUCAAUCUAUAAUCGCGUGCAAUGCGAAUGCUGUUAGAGACGGGUAUUGUUAUUUAUACGCUAGCCAAACCGCUGCAUUAACCGUUACGGAUACCGAAGUGGAAGAGAAUCAAGAUUGAAGAAGACAGCGGCGGCCUUCCAUGACAUGUAACUGCGAACAAAGCUUUCGAAGAGCCUUCAAUUGUGGAUGCCAAAUCUCUCGUGGAAUGCCAAUUAGCCAUCGCGGCAUUCAGCUUUAUUUUCAUGAUGCCGUGUUUUCUCCAUCUUUCGCAGCUGAUGGGAAAUGCAGCUAAGCUACUGGUUUGCAGUUACCUGGUAUUCUGAAUGAAUUGUUUGCGAAUGAUGGUCCACACAGUUAUUUUCAUGAUGCCGUGUUCUCUCCAUCUUUCGCAGCUGAUGGGAAAUGCAGCUAAGCUACUGGUUUGCAGUUACCUGGUAUUCUGAAUGAAUUGUUUGCGAAUGAUGGUCCACACAGUUACUUUCAUGAUGCCGUGUUCUCUCCAGCUUUCGCAGCUGAUGGGAAAUGCAGCUAAGCUACUGGUUUGCAGUUACCUGGUAUUCUGAAUGAAUUGUUUGCGAAUGAUGGCCCUUCGGUGUGCAUUAUUAAGAACAUGCUGGGUUUGCUCUAUCAAUGGGCUCACACUGCUGAGGUGUAUGACAUUUUGAAACAGAUUAUCUUGUUUUGUUUGUUUUCUAUGAAGUUGUCAUCUUCUAUGCGUUAGGUAAUGUUUUAUUAUUAUUAUUAUUAUUAUUAAUGCUUCUAAAAAGACAGUGCGUACCUGCAUUUAUAAGAAUGUAGAUAGCAGGGGUGCCAUGUAAGUUAUUCAGUUGAAGGAGGUUAAUGGAGUGUGGAGUAUUGAAGGAGGUUAUUGGGAAGGUUGUUAUUUUGUGUAUGAAGUGUCUGUCUACCAUCCUAGCAUCUUACACGUUGAAAAAUGCUAUGCAGAUGAUCCAUAUGGUAGAGCGCUUGUUGGGUGUCUCAGUUUGCCAACAAUUCUGUGAAAUAGUUCAAUUGUUUCCUUGCUCUGAAAUUAUGCAACUUUGCUGACCAUCUCAAUAUGUUUGUAUUUGUAUUUUGUGCAUUCAAAUAUGUAAAAUUCCUCUGAUUUUAUGCUGUUUCCUUGUUAGAACAGGCUCUUACCAGAUAGCCAGAGGACAUCAUUUGUGAAUCUUGAUUCAGAUAUUUUAUUGGCCUUCAUGUUGUGUUGGGCGCUGUCUACAAUCAUUUGCAUGGAAAUGGGCCCUUUGAUGAGAAUUAUGUUCUUGACAAUGUUCUUAUAAUUAUUGUUCUUUUGAUAUCCAGUCAAACUACGCUUUCCUCACAGUACUUAUGGCCUGCAUAACCUCGAAAACUUUGCCAGCUAUAACUGGAGUGAUGCUAUUCCUUGAUCAUUCCACAAAUUUUAGUACAAUCCAUCAAAUAAUUACUCUCAUACUUGAAUGUUAUUCUGUAAUGAUAUUUUCAUCAUCCUUUUUUUUUUCCUUCUUUUUGAGUGCUUAUGACUUAUAUUUAUUCUCAAACUAAAAGCAAUAUCUAAUUUUCUCCAAGGACCUUGAGUUGAAAUGGCAACCGCAUCUAUCUCCUGAACUAUCAUAAUACUUUCUUCUGGGUUUCUCCCUUCCUUUUCGUGUCUUUUUAUACGUAUCAGUCUAGUAGGGAGUAUAUUGUGGUGACAAUAAUUGGCGUUUAGGAACGGGUACGAUUCCACAACAGCGGCCCUUAAUGGGCCCCUGGUAUUAUAGUGAUGUGUGUUGAAGAUGGCCACUUCAUGGCCCCCUGGUAUUAUAGUGAUUAGUGUUGAAGAUUGCCAUGGAGGUUUUCCAGGAUUACCUCAACCGGAUCCCAUGUGGCUACUCAUACAUUGUGCUGAUCGUCAAUGCUAGUGCAUCUGAGGUAGCAUUUGCCAGUCCUGCACUGCAGGCAAGAACUUUUCAACUGCAUCUUAUACAGUAAGCAUGAGUAGAAACUGUGGCGGUUAAGAAGUUGCAACCUUCCAAAUAGAAAGAGUUAUUUCUUGGUUAAGUAGAAGCCUGGCUUCUGAAAUUUCUUUGGUACAGAACACUGCUGAUCUAAUUUUCUAUGGAACUCUAAAUAAUACUUCUAAUAGAAGCAUGGAGUUCCUGCUCUCUCUCUUCGUGGACUCGUUGGGAUGAGUUUAGGUAGCUGUUUGAGGUUAUUAUAGAAAAUAUGGAAGUUUAACUUGCACAAACAUCGACGACUACGAGUGGAACGGUGCCCCUAAAUGUUUUGGCUCAUGCCAUUUUUCUCUCAUGAUUCGUUGCUUCGGCUGUUAAAAAACCCAACGGAAAAUGUUGUUUCCUAUCUAUCUAUUUAUAUUUUUUAUGGGAAUCCUG